AUGACCCUUAACCCUAAUUUAGGCAUUAAAUCAAAUACAAAAUCAUUCUUAAAAUAUGACUCAAUAAUAAAAAAAAACAUGCUAGAAUUAUUUCAAUAACAAAUGUACAAACUACUAAAAUUUAAUAUUGUCUCUAAUAAAAAAAUUAUAAACAAAUGUGGCAAAAAUUUUAACUCCUACGAAUCUUGAUAGGGUCUAAUUGGUCAUAGUAGCUGCCAC
rnacentral:lncRNA from 1 species